rnacentral:rRNA from 1 species
GGGUUGUGAGGUUAAGCGACUAAGCGUACACGGUGGAUGCCCUGGCAGUCAGAGGCGAUGAAGGACGUGCUAAUCUGCGAUAAGCGUCGGUAAGGUGAUAUGAACCGUUAUAACCGGCGAUUUCCGAAUGGGGAAACCCAGUGUGUUUCGACACACUAUCAUUAACUGAAUCCAUAGGUUAAUGAGGCGAACCGGGGGAACUGAAACAUCUAAGUACCCCGAGGAAAAGAAAUCAACCGAGAUUCCCCCAGUAGCGGCGAGCGAACGGGGAGCAGCCCAGAGCCUGAAUCAGUGUGUGUGUUAGUGGAAGCGUCUGGAAAGGCGCGCGAUACAGGGUGACAGCCCCGUACACAAAAAUGCACAUGCUGUGAGCUCGAUGAGUAGGGCGGGACACGUGGUAUCCUGUCUGAAUAUGGGGGGACCAUCCUCCAAGGCUAAAUACUCCUGACUGACCGAUAGUGAACCAGUACCGUGAGGGAAAGGCGAAAAGAACCCCGGCGAGGGGAGUGAAAAAGAACCUGAAACCGUGUACGUACAAGCAGUGGGAGCACGCUUAGGCGUGUGACUGCGUACCUUUUGUAUAAUGGGUCAGCGACUUAUAUUCUGUAGCAAGGUUAACCGAAUAGGGGAGCCGAAGGGAAACCGAGUCUUAACUGGGCGUUAAGUUGCAGGGUAUAGACCCGAAACCCGGUGAUCUAGCCAUGGGCAGGUUGAAGGUUGGGUAACACUAACUGGAGGACCGAACCGACUAAUGUUGAAAAAUUAGCGGAUGACUUGUGGCUGGGGGUGAAAGGCCAAUCAAACCGGGAGAUAGCUGGUUCUCCCCGAAAGCUAUUUAGGUAGCGCCUCGUGAAUUCAUCUCCGGGGGUAGAGCACUGUUUCGGCAAGGGGGUCAUCCCGACUUACCAACCCGAUGCAAACUGCGAAUACCGGAGAAUGUUAUCACGGGAGACACACGGCGGGUGCUAACGUCCGUCGUGAAGAGGGAAACAACCCAGACCGCCAGCUAAGGUCCCAAAGUCAUGGUUAAGUGGGAAACGAUGUGGGAAGGCCCAGACAGCCAGGAUGUUGGCUUAGAAGCAGCCAUCAUUUAAAGAAAGCGUAAUAGCUCACUGGUCGAGUCGGCCUGCGCGGAAGAUGUAACGGGGCUAAACCAUGCACCGAAGCUGCGGCAGCGACGCUUAUGCGUUGUUGGGUAGGGGAGCGUUCUGUAAGCCUGCGAAGGUGUACUGUGAGGUAUGCUGGAGGUAUCAGAAGUGCGAAUGCUGACAUAAGUAACGAUAAAGCGGGUGAAAAGCCCGCUCGCCGGAAGACCAAGGGUUCCUGUCCAACGUUAAUCGGGGCAGGGUGAGUCGACCCCUAAGGCGAGGCCGAAAGGCGUAGUCGAUGGGAAACAGGUUAAUAUUCCUGUACUUGGUGUUACUGCGAAGGGGGGACGGAGAAGGCUAUGUUGGCCGGGCGACGGUUGUCCCGGUUUAAGCGUGUAGGCUGGUUUUCCAGGCAAAUCCGGAAAAUCAAGGCUGAGGCGUGAUGACGAGGCACUACGGUGCUGAAGCAACAAAUGCCCUGCUUCCAGGAAAAGCCUCUAAGCAUCAGGUAACAUCAAAUCGUACCCCAAACCGACACAGGUGGUCAGGUAGAGAAUACCAAGGCGCUUGAGAGAACUCGGGUGAAGGAACUAGGCAAAAUGGUGCCGUAACUUCGGGAGAAGGCACGCUGAUAUGUAGGUGAAGUCCCUCGCGGAUGGAGCUGAAAUCAGUCGAAGAUACCAGCUGGCUGCAACUGUUUAUUAAAAACACAGCACUGUGCAAACACGAAAGUGGACGUAUACGGUGUGACGCCUGCCCGGUGCCGGAAGGUUAAUUGAUGGGGUCAGCGCAAGCGAAGCUCUUGAUCGAAGCCCCGGUAAACGGCGGCCGUAACUAUAACGGUCCUAAGGUAGCGAAAUUCCUUGUCGGGUAAGUUCCGACCUGCACGAAUGGCGUAAUGAUGGCCAGGCUGUCUCCACCCGAGACUCAGUGAAAUUGAACUCGCUGUGAAGAUGCAGUGUACCCGCGGCAAGACGGAAAGACCCCGUGAACCUUUACUAUAGCUUGACACUGAACAUUGAGCCUUGAUGUGUAGGAUAGGUGGGAGGCUUUGAAGUGUGGACGCCAGUCUGCAUGGAGCCGACCUUGAAAUACCACCCUUUAAUGUUUGAUGUUCUAACGUUGACCCGUGAUCCGGGUUGCGGACAGUGUCUGGUGGGUAGUUUGACUGGGGCGGUCUCCUCCUAAAGAGUAACGGAGGAGCACGAAGGUUGGCUAAUCCUGGUCGGACAUCAGGAGGUUAGUGCAAUGGCAUAAGCCAGCUUGACUGCGAGCGUGACGGCGCGAGCAGGUGCGAAAGCAGGUCAUAGUGAUCCGGUGGUUCUGAAUGGAAGGGCCAUCGCUCAACGGAUAAAAGGUACUCCGGGGAUAACAGGCUGAUACCGCCCAAGAGUUCAUAUCGACGGCGGUGUUUGGCACCUCGAUGUCGGCUCAUCACAUCCUGGGGCUGAAGUAGGUCCCAAGGGUAUGGCUGUUCGCCAUUUAAAGUGGUACGCGAGCUGGGUUUAGAACGUCGUGAGACAGUUCGGUCCCUAUCUGCCGUGGGCGCUGGAGAACUGAGGGGGGCUGCUCCUAGUACGAGAGGACCGGAGUGGACGCAUCACUGGUGUUCGGGUUGUCAUGCCAAUGGCACUGCCCGGUAGCUAAAUGCGGAAGAGAUAAGUGCUGAAAGCAUCUAAGCACGAAACUUGCCCCGAGAUGAGUUCUCCCUGACCCUUUAAGGGUCCUGAAGGAACGUUGAAGACGACGACGUUGAUAGGCCGGGUGUGUAAGCGCAGCGAUGCGUUGAGCUAACCGGUACUAAUGAACCGUGAGGCUUAACCUUACAACGCCGAAG